rnacentral:pre_miRNA from 1 species
CGGAGCCGCCGGGUCUGGCGGCCUAGUCCGCCGUGACCGGCGACCUGGGCCGCCGGACACGGCGAGCUGG